rnacentral:rRNA from 1 species
AGAGUUUGAUCCUGGCUCAGAACGAACGCUGGCGGCGUGCUUAACACAUGCAAGUCGAACGUGAUCCGGAGCUUGCUCCGGUGAAAGUGGCGCACGGGUGAGUAACGCGUGGAUAAUCUGCCCUGGUAUCUGGGAUAACAUCUCGAAAGGGGUGCUAAUACCGGAUAAGCCUACGGUCUCUUCGGAGUCUGCAGGAAAAGGUGGCCUCUAUUUAUAAGCUACCGUAUCAGGAUGAGUCCGCGUACCAUUAGCUAGUUGGUGGGGUAAUGGCCCACCAAGGCUACGAUGGUUAGCUGGUCUGAGAGGAUGAUCAGCCACACUGGAACUGAGACACGGUCCAGACUCCUACGGGAGGCAGCAGUGGGGAAUUUUGCGCAAUGGGGGAAACCCUGACGCAGCAACGCCGCGUGAGUGAUGAAGGCUUUCGGGUCGUAAAGCUCUGUCAGAGGGGAAGAAAUGAGACUGGCUAAUAUCCAGUUUUCUUGACGGUACCCUCAAAGGAAGCACCGGCUAACUCCGUGCCAGCCGCCGCGGUAAUUC